rnacentral:rRNA from 1 species
AGCGAACGCUGGCGGCAGGCUUAACACAUGCAAGUCGAACGGUAAGGCCCUUCGGGGUACACGAGUGGCGAACGGGUGAGUAACACGUGGGUGAUCUGCCCUGCACUUCGGGAUAAGCCUGGGAAACUGGGUCUAAUACCGGAUAGGACCACUGCCUGCAUGGGUGGGGGUGGAAAGCUUUUGCGGUGUGGGAUGGGCCCGCGGCCGAUCAGCUUGUUGGUGGGGUGAUGGCCUACCAAGGCGACGACGGGUAGCCGGCCUGAGAGGGUGACCGGCCACACUGGGACUGAGAUACGGCCCAGACUCCUACGGGAGGCAGCAGUGGGGAAUAUUGCACAAUGGGCGCAAGCCUGAUGCAGCGACGCCGCGUGAGGGAUGACGGCCUUCGGGUUGCAAACCUCCUUCAGCACCGACGAAGCGCAAGUGACGGUAGGUGCAGAAGAAGGACCGGCCAACUACGUGCCAGCAGCCGCGGUAA